UACAGGGGGGGCAAGCGUUGUUCGGAAUUACUGGGCGUAAAGGGCUCGUAGGCGGCCAACUAAGUCACACGUGAAAUCCCCAGGCUUAACCUGGGAACUGCGUGUGAUACUGGAUGGCUUGAAUUCGGGAGAGGGAUGCAGAAUUCCUGGUGUAGCGGUGGAAUGCGCAGAUAUCAGGAGGAACACCAACGGCGAAGGCAGCCCGCUGGGACGGUACUGACGCUAAGGCGCGAAAGCGUGGGGAGCGAACAGG
rnacentral:rRNA from 1 species